CCACCCCCACCCCCCCCCCCCCUUCUCUCUCUGAUCUCUGUAUGUAAAGCGAGAAAAAAAAUUUCCUGGAAACCACUUCAACCAUCAGUCCGUCACCGGAAAGCCUACCGUCCACAGGCAGAGCAACCAGCACCUGCUGGUUCUAUCUCCCUUUGCUCUCAUCAAUGGAGCUCUCCCACCCACCACCACCUGAUUUGUCCCUCCAGAUUAGCCCUCCUGAACCCAAAACCGCCUCCACAUGGAGGAAUGGCUCAAACCCAGAUGCUCAGGUGGGCUUCUGGUGCCAGUCACUAGACCCCAAUCGGCUUAACCCCAUCAAACCAGAAGCCUUCUUCGACCUCUCCCUCGCCUGCCCCACGCUCCCGGAAUCCGGCGCCAUCCCGGCUAGAGUUUUCCAUGAUUCCAUGGAGCCCAGGGCUUAUCAUCACUACGCCGGCCAUCACUACGUUCACGACUAUGGGUUCAGGCCUAUAAGAGGUGUCCCCAUCUACAAUCCGCCCUCCUUUCCCUUCCUUCCCUCCGAGAGCUUCAAUCCGACCAUCCUGUCGGAUUCCUCCACUCCUCCGUAUCCAUGUCCGGCCGUUGGGACGUUCAGAUCGAGGAUCGCGGCGAGGUUCCCGGUGAAGCGCAGCCUGCGAGCGCCGCGGAUGCGGUGGACGAGCUCGCUCCACGCCCGUUUCGUCCACGCUGUGGAGCUCCUAGGAGGCCAUGAGAGAGCAACACCAAAAUCUGUUCUCGAGCUCAUGGAUGUGAAAGAUCUCACUCUAGCACAUGUGAAAAGCCAUUUGCAGAUGUAUAGAACAGUCAAGACUACUGACAAGCCUGCUGUAUCGUCAGGACAACAGGAAGGAUUUGAAACAGGCCAUGGUGGUGAGAUCUGUGAUGAGCUUCCACCAGGAAACGCGGCGUCAACGGCAGAUUACAUGAGUUCUAGCACAGCACAGGAUCCCCAUUUUCUGCAUCAAAGUUUAUGGAGCAACUCUUCUAGUAGGGGAGCUUGGGUGCACGGUGCAGGUUCAGUGGAUUCUCAGUCUAGCAUGCCUCCUUUAAAGGAAAAAAGCAGCAGCCCGGAGAGCUCUACCACUAUCUCUGGAGCAAACAACAAAAGCCCCAAUCUAGAGUUUACUUUGGGAAGACCUGACUGAUUCGUUUGGAAAAAUUUCAUUAAUUUCUAUGGUUUCUCUAUAAGGAAAUGAAAGGGAGAGAAGCAAGGUCCAGCACAACAGAGAAAAGAAGAAGAAACGUCAUGAAGAGGGGAGAAAGAGAAAGAGAGAUGGUUUGCUAAUGCUAAUGAUGGGUUGAGGCUUGUGUAUGUGCAUGCCCAUUUGAAACUUAAUGGCCCUAAAAACAAGAAACAAAAAAAAAAGAUUUGUGCUUUGAUUUUGUGAGAAUUUAGUGUUCCUUUCCAUGCAAGCAUCGAAUGGAACGUGCAUGAGAUAUAAAGAAAAGGAAGAAAGACAAAGGGAAGAUCAGAUCAAACCGUCCCUUCAUGAUAAAGCGCCUCAAAGCAAGUUCCUUCUUUUCUCUUGGUAAUUGUAAUCUUUUCAGACAGCUGCAGCAGCUUUACCAUUGAUAAAUAAUUAUCGGAAGGCGUUCAUGCGUCCUACAUCUUUCUUCUUAUCCAUCGGAGCAGAAGCUUCGACCGUACCAGGGCAUGACCGCGCUGCAAGGACUUUACGAGCACCACUGCUAUGAAAGAAGAAGUCAUGCAUUGAAAGCAUUUGCCGUAUGUCGUCCUUAUAGGUGUUUGCUUUUUGGCUGUCAUUGGAGAGAUACAGAUUGAGGCUCCUCAAACACUUUUUGAUCAUGAACUUCUGAUGUGGCCCAUUGCAUUGAGCCACUUAGGGAAAAGUGAGUUGGUGGACAUGACUCCUCGAUGUUAGAAAAAUGAAGAUGACAAGAAGUGCUAUUGUUGGUUCCAGAAGUGGGAGACGCUGAGGCCUUGGGCCCCUGGAAGUGUCAAACUGACAUUUCCUUGUAAUGUGUAUUUGUUCUUCUUGUGCGUCCAAUAUUGAGAUCAUGGUUGAACACCAAUACUUGAUAGACAAUUGAACCGGUCUGGUAUGCCAGGCAUAUUAUUUUGCUAGCUUUA